rnacentral:rRNA from 1 species
AGAGUUUGAUCCUGGCUCAGGAUGAACGCUAGCUACAGGGCUUAACACAUGCAAGUCGAGGGGCAGCAUGAACUUAGCUUGCUAAGUUUGAUGGCGACCGGCGCACGGGUGAGUAACACGUAUCCAACCUGCCGAUGACUCGGGGAUAGCCUUUCGAAAGAAAGAUUAAUACCCGAUGGCAUAGUUCUUCCGCAUGGUAGAACUAUUAAAGAAUUUCGGUCAUCGAUGGGGAUGCGUUCCAUUAGGUUGUUGGCGGGGUAACGGCCCACCAAGCCUUCGAUGGAUAGGGGUUCUGAGAGGAAGGUCCCCCACAUUGGAACUGAGACACGGUCCAAACUCCUACGGGAGGCAGCAGUGAGGAAUAUUGGUCAAUGGACGAGAGUCUGAACCAGCCAAGUAGCGUGAAGGAUGACUGCCCUAUGGGUUGUAAACUUCUUUUAUACGGGAAUAAAGUGAGGCACGUGUGCCUUUUUGUAUGUACCGUAUGAAUAAGGAUCGGCUAACUCCGUGCCAGCAGCCGCGGUAAUACGGAGGAUCCGAGCGUUAUCCGGAUUUAUUGGGUUUAAAGGGAGCGUAGAUGGAUGUUUAAGUCAGUUGUGAAAGUUUGCGGCUCAACCGUAAAAUUGCAGUUGAUACUGGA